rnacentral:rRNA from 2 species
AGCAGCCGCGGUAAUUCCAGCUCCAAUAGCGUAUAUUAAAGUUGUUGCAGUUAAAAAGCUCGUAGUUGAAUUUCGGGAUUGACACAUCGGUCGUGCCUUAAGGGGUAUGAACUGGUGUAGUCAAUUUCUCACCUUCUGGAGAACCGCGAUGUCCUUAAUUGGGUGCCGCGAGGAACCAGGACCUUUACUUUGAAAAAAUUAGAGUGUUUAAAGCAGGCAUUUUUGCUUGAAUACAUUAGCAUGGAAUAAUAAAAUAGGACGGCAUGAUUCUAUUUUGUUGGUUUCUAGGAUCACCGUAAUGAUUAAUAGGGAUAGUUGGGGGCAUUAGUAUUCAAUUGUCAGAGGUGAAAUUCUUGGAUUUAUUGAAGACUAACUACUGCGAAAGCAUUUGCCAAGGAUGUUUUCAUUAAUCAAGAACGAAAGUUAGGGGAUCGAAGACGAUCAGAUACCGUCGUAGUCUUAACCAUAAACUAUGCCGACUAGGAAUCAGACGAUGUUAAUUUUUUAAUGACUCGUUUGG